AAUUUGGAAUGAGUACACUUUAAAUCCUUGUACGAGGAUCGAGUGGAGGGCAAGUCUGGUGCCAGCCGCCGCGGUAAUUCCAGCUCCACUAGCGUAUAUUAAAGUUGUUGCGGUUGAAACGCUCGUAGUUUGACUUCUGCUCCGGACCGGCGGUCCGCCUUAGCGGCGGCUACUGCCGGGUUCCGAGCUGUGUCCCCGCCGGCGCGCACGGGGUUUUUUAUGCCCUUAACCGGGUGUCCCCCUGUGGCCGGCACGUUUACUUUGAAAAAAUUAGAGUGCUCAGAGCAGGCUGGUCUUUGCUUACAGCCCGAAUGGUCGUGCAUGGAAUGAUGGAACAGGACCUCGGUUCUAUUUUGUCGGUUUUUCGGAACCCGAGGUAAUGAUUAAUAGAAGCAGACGGGGGCAUUCGUACUGCGACGCUAGAGGUGAAAUUCUUAGACCGUCGCAUGACGACCUACUGCGAAAGCAUCUGCCAAGGAUGUUUUCAUUGAUCAAGAACGAAAGUUUAAGGUUAGAACUAGGGCGGUAUCUGAUCGCCUUCGAACCUUAAACGAUGCUGACUAGCGAUCCGCCGCAGUUAUUCCCAUGACCCGGCGGGUAGCUUCCGGGAAACCAAAGUCUUUGAGUUCCGGGGGAAGUAUGGUUGCAAAGCUGAAACUUAAAGGAAUUGACGGAAGGGCACCACCAGGAGUGGAGCCUGCGGCUCAAUUUGACGCAACACGGGGAAACUCACCAGGCCAGGACACCGGAAGGAUUGACAGAAUGAAGGCUCUUUCUCGAUUCGGUGGGUGGUGGUGCAUGGCCGUUCUUAGUUGGUGGAGUGAUCUGUCUGGUUAAUUCCGAUAACGAACGAGACUCUAGCCUGCUAAAUAGUCGACGGGUCUCUCGCCCAGCCUUCGCCCUCGGGCGUGGGCUCGGGUUCCCCUAAACCCGGCCGUCGCGCGGGCCUCCGCCGGCGGCGCUAACCAACCGACGGCGGAGGCCCGCGCGGCGCCGGAAACUGGCGUCCGCUUCGCAGUCUUCUUCUUAGAGGGAUAAGCGGCAGCAAAAAAUAUACUAGCCGCACGAGAGUUUGAGCCAUAACAGGUCUGUGAUGCCCUUAGAUGUUCUGGGCCGCACGCGCGCUACAAUGGAGAGUUCAGCGAGCUGUCCCUGCUCCGAGAGGAGCGGGUAACCUCGUGAAAGCUGUCCUUAAAGGGGAUUGGGGCUUGCAAAUGUUCCCCAUGAACGAGGAAUUCCCAGUAGGCGCAAUUCACCAGAUUGCGCCGAUUUAGUCCCUGCCCUUUGUACACACCGCCCGUCGCUACUACCGAUUGAAUGGUCUAGUGAGGGCACCGGACUGGCGCCCCUUGGAGCCGCUACCGCCGCCUCGGCGGCGGCCAGCGCCCUCGGGUCGACGGAAAGGUGUCCAAGCUGGGUCAUUUAGAGGAAGUAAAAGCAGAAGGCUGGGAAAAAUCCUGGGAGGAGGGUUGG
rnacentral:rRNA from 1 species